rnacentral:pre_miRNA from 1 species
UGAAUUUGCUGACAGAAGAUAGAGAGCACAGAUGAGGAAAUGCAAAAACAAGGCAGCAUCUCCAUCCUUUGUGCUCUCUAUUCUUCUGUCAACACCUUCA